GGCUCCUGGGGGUGUGGCCGCCGGAGGGUGUGCCGGCCCAGAGUCCCAGGCCCUGCCUGCCCGGCCUCUCCCUCCCUUCUCCUGUCACCGCGGCCGACUGGCCAAGGGCACCAGCCCUGGAGAGGGCACAGGGCUCAGCGUGGCCAGCUCGGAUGUGAGCUCAUUCCCCCGAGACCACCAGUUCUAGUUCCUGCCCCUCCCCCAAAGGCUCGGGUCGCAGGCUGGUGCCUGGCACCCACCCCAAAGGUUGGGAGGGGGCUCGAGGCCAUCAGGCUCCAGGCCGCACUUGGCGCUGCCCCCUGGCGCCAGGGAAACAAAGGUUAGGGGCCCAGAGGGAGUUAUCUGGCCCCACCGCCACCGGGUGGGGGAAGGGGACCAAGAGGGGGCGCAGUUCCCCUCCACUCCCCCAGCCCUACUGAUUCUUCGAGACACUUUCACAGGCGGAAAUUCCCAGAGGUUACAGGCUGCUGUCCUCAGGGUGCCAGACAUCUUCUGCUCAAGAGCCAGCUGCCCUGGCCACCACAGCCCCACCUCCACCACCAGGCUGGGCAUCCCGAGGCUGGCAGGCAUCUCUUCAGGCAGCCGCCAGUCCUGGCACUGGCUCCCCCACUCAGCCCCUUGGCCCUGCCAGCCCUUUGAAGCUCAUGCAGCGCUUCCUGUUUGGGGCGGGCGAUGCCAGGGCCCCUCCCCCACCAUUGUUCUGGAGAGACCAUAGGUCCAUCUGUUGCCCCAUGGUGGGGCCCCUAGGCAGUGCCACACGGGAGCAGCACCACAAAGGACGCUGCUGGCAGCUUUGCUUAUGUGGGGUGAGGCUGGGCCCUGCAGCAGGUUGAGGGUGAAUGGUGGUCAGAGGCAGGCCUGGGGCGGGCACUGGGAUAGGAGGAUGCUAGAAAGUUCUGGUGCUUGGGCAGCUGGAGCCCUCAGCUUUCUCCUCCACCUGGAGCAUGGAGAUGAUAUUCAGGGAGCCA
rnacentral:lncRNA from 1 species